rnacentral:tRNA from 1 species
AAAAAUUUAGUUAAAAAAUAACAUUAGUUUGUCAGGCUAAAAUCACUAAAAAAUUAGUAAUUUUUA